UCUCAUCAAGAGCGGCGGAGGGAAUAGGCCCGAUGAUGCCCGGCAACCUGUGCUAUACAAGGUGCCAAAUCCUACAGAGCGAUCUGAAAGAUGAGG
rnacentral:ncRNA from 1 species